GAACAACUCCGGGAAACUGGAGCUAAUACCGUAUACGUCCUUCGGGAGAAAGAUUUAUCGGUGAUGGAUGAGCCCGCGUUGGAUUAGCUAGUUGGUGGGGUAAAGGCCUACCAAGGCGACGAUCCAUAGCUGGUCUGAGAGGAUGAUCAGCCACACUGGGACUGAGACACGGCCCAGACUCCUACGGGAGGCAGCAGUAGGGAAUAUUGGACAAUGGGCGAAAGCCUGAUCCAGCCAUGCCGCGUGAGUGAUGAAGGCCCUAGGGUUGUAAAGCUCUUUCAACGGUGAAGAUAAUGACGGUAACCGUAGAAGAAGCCCCGGCUAACUUCGUGCCAGCAGCCGCGGUAAUACGAAGGGGGCUAGCGUUGUUCGGAUUUACUGGGCGUAAAGCGCACGUAGGCGGACUAUUAAGUCAGGGGUGAAAUCCCGGGGCUCAACCCCGGAACUGCCUUUGAUACUGGUAGUCUCGAGUCCGGAAGAGGUGAGUGGAAUUCCGAGUGUAGAGGUGAAAUUCGUAGAUAUUCGGAGGAACACCAGUGGCGAAGGCGGCUCACUGGUCCGGUACUGACGCUGAGGUGCGAAAG
rnacentral:rRNA from 1 species